rnacentral:rRNA from 1 species
UGGAGAGUUUGAUCCUGGCUCAGAGUGAACGCUGGCGGUAGGCCUAACACAUGCAAGUCGAACGGCAGCACAGGAGAGCUUGCUCUCUGGGUGGCGAGUGGCGGACGGGUGAGGAAUACAUCGGAAUCUACUCUGUCGUGGGGGAUAACGUAGGGAAACUUACGCUAAUACCGCAUACGACCUACGGGUGAAAGCAGGGGAUCUUCGGACCUUGCGCGAUUGAAUGAGCCGAUGUCGGAUUAGCUAGUUGGCGGGGUAAAGGCCCACCAAGGCGACGAUCCGUAGCUGGUCUGAGAGGAUGAUCAGCCACACUGGAACUGAGACACGGUCCAGACUCCUACGGGAGGCAGCAGUGGGGAAUAUUGGACAAUGGGCGCAAGCCUGAUCCAGCCAUACCGCGUGGGUGAAGAAGGCCUUCGGGUUGUAAAGCCCUUUUGUUGGGAAAGAAAUCCAGCCGGCUAAUACCUGGUUGGGAUGACGGUACCCAAAGAAUAAGCACCGGCUAACUUCGUGCCAGCAGCCGCGGUAAU